rfam:Camelus ferus unplaced genomic scaffold scaffold1458, whole genome shotgun sequence.
GAGGGGAUAGCUCAGUGGUAAAGUGCCUGCCCAGUGUGCACAAGGUCCUAGGUUCAAUCCCCAGUCCCUCCA